rnacentral:ribozyme from 1 species
CAUGUUUUUUUUUUUUUUUUUUUUUUUUUUUUUUUUUUUU